rnacentral:rRNA from 1 species
UACGGGGGGGGCAAGCGUUGUUCGGAAUUACUGGGCGUAAAGGGCUCGUAGGUGGCCAACUAAGUCAGACGUGAAAUCCCUCGGCUUAACCGGGGAACUGCGUCUGAUACUGGAUGGCUUGAGUUUGGGAGAGGGACGCGGAAUUCCAGGUGUAGCGGUGAAAUGCGUAGAUAUCUGGAGGAACACCGGUGGCGAAAGCGGCGCGCUGGACCUCUUCUGACGCUGAGGCGCGAAAGCCAGGGGAGCAAACGGG